CCUACGGGAGGCAGCAGUGGGGGAUAUUGCACAAUGGGGGAAACCCUGAUGCAGCGACGCCGCGUGGGUGAAGAAGCGCCUCGGCGCGUAAAGCCCUGUCAGCAGGGAAGAAAAUGACGGUACCUGAAGAAGAAGCCCCGGCUAACUACGUGCCAGCAGCCGCGGUAAUACGUAGGGGGCAAGCGUUAUCCGGAUUUACUGGGUGUAAAGGGGGCGCAGACGGGGAUGCAAGCCAGGAGUGAAAGCCCGGGCCCCAACCCCGGGACUGCUCUGGGAACUGGGUGGCUAGAGUGCAGGAGGGGCAGGCGGAAUGCCUGGUGUAGCGGUGACAGGCGGAGAUAUCAGGAGGAACACCGGUGGCGAAGGCGGCCGGCUGGACUGCAACGGACGUUGAGGCCCGAAGGCGUGGGGAGCAAACAGGAUUAGAUACCCGGGUAGUC
rnacentral:rRNA from 1 species